CCUCCUUCUGGCUAACUCUGGCAAAUCCUCAAAACUUCAGUUAAACUGAUGUGACACCUUCUCCCCCUCCAACUGGAAUGUUUCCAGUACUUCCAAACAUGCAGAUUGCUUUGUUGUACAACAUCAGAGGCAUCACUCGCAUCACCGUCUCUGUGAAUGGCAUGCUCUGGAAUUGUGCAGUGCACAACCUGCAAGGCUAAUGUGGUGCAGUGGACAUUUUUUUUCCUAAUUAGCCUAAAGAAAAUUUCAGUAUCACUCUGUGUCUUCAGUUUCUGUAGCCCAAGAUGUGAUUUCUAGCAUAUGCUCAUGUUUUUAAAAACUCUAUGUAACUUAUUUGGAUAUUCUGUGUUGUAAUGUGAUACAGCAUACUACAAGUUACCAUUUUCAUCAAACACAUAUUGCUUUAACACAAGUGAAUUAACAGAUUAUUGAUCAUCCUGCAAAGGCAGAAUGGUGAAAUGGUUAAGAACCCAGACUCUGACAUUUUCACUGUAGUUUAGAACCCCAGAUAUUCUUCUCACUAGCAGACUGACUUUGAGUGAAUUAUCUAUCCUCUGUAUGCCUAAGUUUCCUCAUCUGUAAAUUGGGAUAGUAAUAAUAUAUUCUUAAUAGGUUUGCUAUGAGGAUUACAUGAAUCAAUAUAUAGACAGUCCUAGGAAUAGUGCCUUGCACAUACUAUGCAAGUAUGUGAGUUAUGUGAGUUAUUUCUUUUAUACUUUGUCCAUCUACUUGCAAAAUUAUAUUUUGUUAAUUGAUUUUUUAAAAUUUAUCAAUAAAAUGUUCAUAGGGAAACAAAUAUCUCCACUCUAAAUGCCUAAAUAUAUUUAACAUAUGAUUGAAAUUCAAGCCCUUCUGCCCAUCUGCCUAAUUUUAUUAUAUUGUAAUCAUUGCUUUAAUCCUAUUUUGAACUUCAGAUACUUAGUUGGAAGUUGUUGUCUUUUAUUAUCUGAGCCUGUAACUUUUCCCGAAAUCCAUGCAUAUGUUUAAACUACAAUAUUUAUAUAAUUUCCUGACAAAUUCCCUAACAAAUCAAACUGUUAGAAUAUGGUAAAUGUGAUAAACACUUAGAAUAUUUUAUCUUUUUAUACAGAUCCUGCUAAACAUCACAAGUCUUAGGGCUCAAAGAUAAAAUAAAAUACACGGACAUAUUUUUAAUCUUUAUGUGUAACUACUGUUUAUGAAGAAUUGAAAUGAACAACAGGCCCAAAUCAAGCAGGGAAAUAUGCUAGUGACUCAUCACAUUUUAAUGCUGCUUAAUUUUCAGGCUUCCUGUGUGAAUUAGCUAAGAGAUACAGCAAUUUAAAGAAUAAUGACUAAAACCUUUUCUAUUUCCUGCUUAAUUUCCUUCUGAAGGAAAGUAUUCAUUUUUAAAUAUUUUUCAGACAUUCUCUAUGUAAAGAAAAACCAGUGAAUUAGAAUUUUCUUAACAAGCACAUCUUUUAGAAAGAAGAAUUUCAGAUGAAGGAACAAGUGAAUAGAAUAAAAGUAUUUUUGCAAGUUCAGAAAGCAGGGGUCUAUGUAGAUCUAGAUAAAAAAUUCAAUCAAAUAUCAUCUGUGUCAUGUUGAUGUGAUUUGUAUUGUUGUUAUUCUGCAAAUCUUCCAAUCUUGUCCCAAUGUCUGGCAUCAUUCACAUACCUGCACACCAGGUGUAAGUGAAUUAGGGCAGCCCAGUAGAAAUAACCUCCCUUAGGGAAAAAGGAUAAAUAAAGAAGGUUUGCCAUUUGGGUCACUCCUUGGAAAAUGCCAGAGGUAUAGUACAAAAAAGAACUAAAACCACAAAGACAUUAAGAAGGUAACUUACAAAGAAACCAAAGUGAUUAGCUUUCUUAUUUGUAAUUAUGGAAAAACAUUACAUUCACAUUACUAAGGGUGUAGAUGAGAUUUUCUUCAACUACAGCUAAGUCCUCUCAGAACUGGAUUUUUUUUAAUAUUAUGUACAAAAGUUAAAACUCUACUUAUUUAAAAUCAAUUGGCUAUCCAAAAAUUUGUGUCUUCCUCUGCUUCCAUUUCAUGAAUUUUAAGGAAUUAGCUUUAGCAUUUUUUAGAGCAUAGGUUGAAAAGGCAUUUUAAUUUCCACCUCAGAGUAAUUUUAAAACCACAUCAAUUAUUUCUCAUGUGCAGCUGUUUUUUAUCCACAAAUUAUUGCUCUAGGCAUUUUUACUUUACCACACAUUUCAGAAGAGAAGGAAUGAAGGGGAACCAGCUAAUCUACAAAUGUUUCACCAACGGUAGAUCAGACCCAAAAAAAAGUGUGUGGGGGGGAUUAUGAAUCAAAACUUCUUUAGUAAU